GAUGAACGCUGGCGGCGUGCCUAAUACAUGCAAGUCGAGCGAACGGACGAGAAGCUUGCUUUUCUGAUGUUAGCGGCGGACGGGUGAGUAACACGUGGAUAACCUACCUAUAAGACUGGGAUAACUUCGGGAAACCGGAGCUAAUACCGGAUAAUAUUUUGAACCGCAUGGUUCAAAAGUGGAAGACGGUCUUGCUGUCACUUAUAGAUGGAUCCGCGCUGCAUUAGCUAGUUGGUAAGGUAACGGCUUACCAAGGCAACGAUGCAUAGCCGACCUGAGAGGGUGAUCGGCCACACUGGAAGUGAGACACGGUCCAGACUCCUACGGGAGGCAGCAGUAGGGAAUCUUCCGCAAUGGGCGAAAGACUGACGGAGCAACGCCGCGUGAGUGAUGAAGGUCUUCGGAUCGUAAAACUCUGUUAUUCGGGAAGAACAUAUGUGUAAGUAACUGUGCACAUAUUGACGGUACCUAAUCAGAAAGCCACGGCUAACUACGUG
rnacentral:rRNA from 1 species